ACACAUGCAAGUCGAGGGGCAGCAUGGUCUUAGCUUGCUAAGGCCGAUGGCGACCGGCGCACGGGUGAGUAACACGUAUCCAACCUGCCGUCUACUCUUGGACAGCCUUCUGAAAGGAAGAUUAAUACAAGAUGGCAUCAUGAGUCCGCAUGUUCACAUGAUUAAAGGUAUUCCGGUAGACGAUGGGGAUGCGUUCCAUUAGAUAGUAGGCGGGGUAACGGCCCACCUAGUCUUCGAUGGAUAGGGGUUCUGAGAGGAAGGUCCCCCACAUUGGAACUGAGACACGGUCCAAACUCCUACGGGAGGCAGCAGUGAGGAAUAUUGGUCAAUGGGCGCAGGCCUGAACCAGCCAAGUAGCGUGAAGGAUGACUGCCCUAUGGGUUGUAAACUUCUUUUAUAAAGGAAUAAAGUCGGGUAUGUAUACCCGUUUGCAUGUACUUUAUGAAUAAGGAUCGGCUAACUCCGUGCCAGCAGCCGCGGUAGUACGGAGGAUCCGAGCGUUAUCCGGAUUUAUUGGGUUUAAAGGGAGCGUAGAUGGAUGUUUAAGUCAGUUGUGAAAGUUUGCGGCUCAACCGUAAAAUUGCAGUUGAUACUGGAUAUCUUGAGUGCAGUUGAGGCAGGCGGAAUUCGUGGUGUAGCGGUGAAAUGCUUAGAUAUCACGAAGAACUCCGAUUGCGAAGGCAGCCUGCUAAGCUGCAACUGACAUUGAGGCUCGAAAGUGUGGGUAUCAAACAGGAUUAGAUACCCUGGUAGUCCACACGGUAAACGAUGAAUACUCGCUGUUUGCGAUAUACAGCAAGCGGCCAAGCGAAAGCGUUAAGUAUUCCACCUGGGGAGUACGCCGGCAACGGUGAAACUCAAAGGAAUUGACGGGGGCCCGCACAAGCGGAGGAACAUGUGGUUUAAUUCGAUGAUACGCGAGGAACCUUACCCGGGCUUAAAUUGCAGAUGAAUUAC
rnacentral:rRNA from 1 species